UUCUGGAGUUUCAUGUUCACGCUAAGUGUUUGUGUAUCAGUAGUGCCCAUUCAGCAAGCCUGGAGCAGGUACAGAGAUGAUUCAUUGUCGGUUGUAAUGCAACAAAGUGAAGAUCCAGUUUGGAGUAUUCCCUUUCCAGAGAUUGUAAUUUGUAAUGAAGCCCCUGUGCGUGCGGAUGUCACGAAAAACAUGAAGAACGAUGCAGAGACGUUUAAAAACUUUUCAUUGUUCUGCACGAAAUAUCCACCGCCAGAGGGUUCUAGUUUCAUGAAAGAAGGAGACAUGAUUGAUUUUGUUAAGAAG